rnacentral:rRNA from 1 species
GACGAACGCUGGCGGCGUGCUUAACACAUGCAAGUCGAACGGAAAGGCCCUGCUUUUGUGGGGUGCUCGAGUGGCGAACGGGUGAGUAACACGUGAGUAACCUGCCCUUGACUUUGGGAUAACUUCAGGAAACUGGGGCUCAUACCGGAUAGGAGCUCCUGCUGCACGGUGGGGGUUGGAAAGUUUCGGCGGUUGGGGAUGGACUCGCGGCUUAUCAGCUUGUUGGUGGGGUAGUGGCUUACCAAGGCUUUGACGGGUAGCCGGCCUGAGAGGGUGACCGGCCACAUUGGGACUGAGAUACGGCCCAGACUCCUACGGGAGGCAGCAGUGGGGAAUAUUGCACAAUGGGCGGAAGCCUGAUGCAGCAACGCCGCGUGCGGGAUGACGGCCUUCGGGUUGUAAACCGCUUUCGCCUGUGACGAAGCGUGAGUGACGGUAAUGGGUAAAGAAGCACCGGCUAACUACGUG